rnacentral:lncRNA from 1 species
UACACCUGUUGUUGUAGUGAUCACUGUUGGCUUAAAUGGGUCAGCAUUCUGGCCUGUGGCGGGAGGCCAUGUGGGCCGAGUCAAGUUCGAAAUGGCGUGAGGCUGGGUUGGGCCGAGUCAUAUUCGAAGUGGCGUGAGGUCAGGUUGGCCGAGUCACAAUCGAGACCCGUGGGCGCUAUUUCUGUACGCUUUAAGUGAAUUGGUUGCGUAUUUCUAACAGCUCGAGUUUUUGGGAUUAAUGGUUACCGCCAACGAUCCGACAAUCACAUCCCAUUCCAUUGAAUGGUCGUCGUCGCGGAACGAUCCUGCAGCUCAUUAUUUGAUGAUGGAAUAUAUUUAAAACUGUUGAAUUAGUCGUUGGAUGAACGACGAGUUGUAGACGACCGUGAAAUUGAGCAAUGGUGGGAUUGGUCAGUGUGUGUGUGCGGAAAAAAUUAUAUGCAUGCUCUUCGAAUAGAUUAUCAAAUCACACUUAGGAGCUGUUCGGAGAUAAUACUUAAGUAGAGAGCUCUAUAAUGGCACUUCGUUGGAAUCCUCAUAUUCAGUGUCAUGUGUUAAUUUUGCUUUCACAAAAAUAAAACUAGCAUAUGGUAGUAAAUCCGAGACCCCUCAAUGGAGCCCCAAAAUAAAAUUUUUUUUGCCGUUUAGUAUAAAAUUUGUAAUAUUUUAAAAAUAUUAUAUAUUUAAUAUUCAGAAUGGAAAAUUUGUUAUUGACACUUAGAUUGAAAA